GCGCGGGCGGCGGGAGGAGCCGGGGACGCCGCUCCGGCCUUGCCCCGCCGGGCUCCUCGCAGGUGGAGCCCCCGGCUGGGCUGACACGGCAGCCGGGUCUCCGUUCCGCCUCCUCCGGCGCUCUCGUUGCCUUUGCGGGGCGCGGCGGCAGGAGAAGGAAAGGGGAUCUCGGGCGGCUGGGUGUUGAGUCCCAGGCGAGCGCACGCGUGAGCGUUUGUAGCGCUCGCUGUCCCUAACUGGCCUUCCGUGGCAUCACCCUCCGCCUGGAUAUCUCCAGAGUCGUCAAGAAUUGGUCCGUGAGGGUGGGAAAACAAAACGAAACAAACUACCCCUACCCCCCGCCCCCCCCAAAAUUGACAACUGGUUUUUAUCUCUAGUAGGUGGAAGAAAAUAAUUACUUUUUUUUUUUCAUCAAAAUCUACGAGCAAAACCUUCUGAACGGACUGUAGAAUAAGAGAAGUUUUCAUGUGGAUAGAUGACACUGCAUUAAAGACAGGUCUCUAUAAGAUAGAACAAAACUAUUUCUCAGUGAAUUGAGUCAACAUGCAAAAUUCCACAAAGAUCUGAAUUGGAGCUUGUGGACUGAGAGCAAAGAUCUUUUGCUGAUAAGGCUGUUCUUUGGAGCUGCAUCCGGUAGCCUUUCCGGGCAGAGGCAGGCUGGUGACCCAGUGAGGUGCUGAAGUGAAACCAACAACACCCAUUCUUCUCAUUUGGAAACAACGGAUGUUCACAAGGGACCUGGAUAUUAUAUCAACAGGAUAUCAUGGGAAAACAAAAGAAGGCUGUAACUAGCAUGUAGACAAUGUGUCUUUAUUAUUUCCAAUUAAGGAGCUCUUGUUCUGUGGAGUGGUGUCCUGUCCCCUGCCACCCCCUUGGCAUCUUUAGUCUUCACAACAACAGAUUUUCAGCUCUUCUUCACUGAUUAGAUUUGAGAUCUGUUUUUAUACAAAUGUUUUGUAACUUGGCCUGUUGGCUAAGAACAACCAGCUGCAACAUUAAAGGAGUAAUUUUAA